CGCGGCCGUAGGGACAGGAAGAGCAGGGCCACGGGCGCCAAUGUAGGGGCCGACGAGGGUUCCGAGGAGAGCGCCCGCCCCGAACCCGACCCCCACCCCCAGGCGAGCUCCGAUUCCAUCGUCAUGUAAUCUGCUCGAGUUGCGCCUAAUGCCACGAUUUAUUGCAGGUGGAGGUGGAGUACGUGCCGGAGAAGCCCGACCUCGGCGCCGACAACCCGCUCCUCCUCGGCGCCUUCACGUCCGUCGAGAAAUUCAGCCUCACGGACCACACCGCCACUGCCCGCGUCGAGGUUUUCAGCCCUCUAUUUUCAUCUAACACAUGGUUAUGCAGAUUCGUUUUUCGAUACUAACGAUGGAAAUCCAACCUGACUAUAUGCUUGCUAUGUACACAUUUUAAAAAGGUUCUUAUGAGGUUAGUGUAACUACAUUAUAAUUUAGAAUGCUAGUCUUAUAUCAAUUGUAGCAGGUUUCUGGGAUCACAGACUUAGGUUUGAUGCCAAGGAAGGUAUCUAAAGUUGUCAUUGUUGAUGGUGGACUGAUGGGUUCUGGAAUCGCAACCGCGCUGAUACUGAGUCAUUAUCCUGUUAUACUCAAAGAAGUCGAUGAGAAAUUCCUGAACGCAGGAAUCGACAGGAUCAAAGGUGGCACCUAGGUUUGGAGAGAUGGACGUGGUGAUUGAUAGGGAUUUCAGUGGGAGUAAGACAUACGACUCUGUAAAGAAAUUAAAGACCUUCCGGUUUCAAUACAUGGUCAAAAAACUUCA